AUGGCGACUGCGAGAGCUCGACCCACCAUGGCCAUCGUCCUCCUCGCCACACUCUCGGCCUCCCACACCGCGUCAUGCCUGGUUCGGCACGACGUCUUCGGCUGCCAGCCCAGCGGCUACCUCCUGGGCAGGUCCGGGAACUGCGAGAUUAGCAACAACCCGGACUGUUGCGUCGACGGCAAGCAGUACCCGCAGUUCCUCUGCUCGCCGCCCGUCCCUGCGACCACGUGGGUCGUCCUCACAGUCAACGGCUUCAGUAAGGGCAAGGACGGCGGCCUCCCGUCCGAGUGUGACAGCGCGUACCACGAUGACUCGGAGAUGGUCGUCGUGCUCUCCACCGGCUGGUUCAGCGGCAUGUCCUGCUGCAUCCGCAACAUCAAGAUCACUGCGAAGGGUGGCAGCUCGGUGUACGCCAAGGUGGUGGACAAGUGCGACUCCCGGUUGCGACGUCGAGCACAAGUACAAGGAGCCAUGCGCCUACAACGUCCUGGGCGCCUAGCCGGCGGUGUGGGAUGCCCUGGGCCUCGAUCAGAACAUCGUUUUGCAGGAUGUUACCUCAUCUAA
rnacentral:rRNA from 1 species